rnacentral:rRNA from 1 species
GUACCCAUUAUACAGAGUGACCCUACUAUUGGAUGCAAAGAGCUGUUGGGGCAUUUGGAAGAUACAUAUGGCACAACCAUUGAGUAUCAUACAGUGUGGAAAGGCAAAGAUAUAGCACAGAAAGAGAUAUAUGGUAGCAUGAGGCAGAGUUUUCAAUAUUUGUUUAACUUCAAAGCAGAAGUUGAGAAGAGAUCCCCAGGCGGCAUUGUAGAGGUGGAUAUGAAGAUGGUUCACGGUAUUGUUCGCUUUAAUCGAAUCUCUAUGGCUCUUAAACCUUGCAUUGAUGGCUUUAAAGCUGGUUGUAGACCACAUCUUAGUAUAGAUUCAACUGCACUCACCAGUAAAUGGAGAGGUCAUUUAGCAGCUUGUACAACAUUAGAUGGGCAUAAUUGGAUGUACCCUCUAGCAUUUGCAUUCAUUGAUGGUGAAACUGAUGAAAAUUGGACAUGGUUCAUGUCACAACUAAACAUGGCAUUAGGUCAUGUUUCCCCUCUAGCUAUAUGCACAGAUGCAUGUAAAGGUUUAGAGAAUGCAGUCAAAAAA